rnacentral:lncRNA from 1 species
AACAGGAUGAAGACCAUUGGUGUGAUAGUGAUGUUCGCCCUCCUGGGUGUCCUGUUGGCAAAUCACCCCAACCAGGUUAAUGGGGAGGAAGCUACAGAAGCAUUGCAGCGGAAAUAUCCCCCUUCCGAUCUCUAUCCCAAUGGUCCUCCACCUCCCCUCCCUCCACGUCUUGGUGCUCCACCUCCCCUCCCUCCACGUCGUGCCGCUCCACCUCCCGUCACUCCACCUCCCCUCCCUCCACGUCUCAUCACUCCACCUCCCGUCACUCCACCUCCCCUCCCUCCACGUCCUGGCGCUCCACCUCCCGUCCCUCCACCUCCCCUCCCUCCACGUCUUGGUGCUCCGCCUCCCGUCCCUCCACCUCCCCUCCCUCCACGUCUUGGUGCUCCACCUCCCGUCCCUCCACGUCGUGCCCGUCCCUCGGGCUCAGUUUGAUCAAAGCAGCUGGCGUAGAGGAUAAAGAUGCAGAUCUACAGUCUAUAAACCUCUAUCAUCAAUUUCCCCAUCAGAACCACAUCAUUAAAUUAGCUUCUGAAUAAUAAUGACAGUGUCCUAAAUGACAUCCUAAUCUCUAUAGAGCACAUUUGAAUGACAGCCUAUACUGUAGUGCUUUACUUUAGUACUUUAGUAAAGCACUUAAUGCCAAAAUGUUGCUGUCUAGAUUGAUACAGUGGCCAUGUUGUACGGCUGAUAUGUUGAAUAACGAUCCUUCAAUAAACCUAUAUUAAGCAUCAUAUUCUGUGUUCUUAGCUGUGCUUUUUAUUUCAAGAUUGUCCUAAUGUGCAAAUAUCACCCACUGCUCAUCUGUUUGAAUCAAGUUCACUAAUUGUAUGUAGGUGCUCUAUUCCUUUUAUAAAAUAAUCUGGUCUAAAGUAGUGCUCUG